rnacentral:rRNA from 1 species
GACGAACGCUGGCGGCGUGCCUAAUACAUGCAAGUCGAGGGACCGGCGCACGGGUGAGUAACACGUAUCCAACCUGCCCUUUACUCGGGGAUAGCCUUUCGAAAGAAAGAUUAAUACCCGAUAUAAAGGAUGGGGAUGCGUUCCAUUAGGUUGGUGGUGAGGUAACGGCUCACCAAGCCUUCGAUGGAUAGGGGUUCUGAGAGGAAGGCCCCCCACAUUGGAACUGAGAUACGGUCCAAACUCGUACGAGAGGCAGCAGGUAGGAAUAGUGGUCAAUAAGCCCUAGCCUGAACCAGCCAAGUAGCGUGAAGGAUGAAGGGUUAUGGGUCGUAAACUUCUUUUAUAUAAGAAUAUGUAUUAUAUGAAUAAGGAUCGGCUAACUCCGUGCCAGCAGCCGCGGUAAUAC